ensembl:misc_RNA
UUGAGCCAUUAAGACCAGAUCCUCUGCUGUAAAUCAGAGCAGCUCCAUAACAUUUUUUCCCCUCACCUGAGCCCUGACCUAGAGGGACCACAUCUAGUGGAAAGAGGGUAAUUCAUUCUCCAUGCUCACUCAAUCCAUAGACCCU